AACGAACGCUGGCGGCAUGCCUAACACAUGCAAGUCGAACGAGACCUUCGGGUCUAGUGGCGCACGGGUGCGUAACGCGUGGGAACCUGCCCUUAGGUUCGGAAUAACUCCCCGAAAGGGGUGCUAAUACCGGAUAAUGUCUUCGGACCAAAGAUUUAUCGCCUUUGGAUGGGCCCGCGUUUGAUUAGCUAGUUGGUAGGGUAAAAGCCUACCAAGGCGACGAUCCCUAGCUGGUCUGAGAGGAUGAUCAGCCACACUGGGACUGAGACACGGCCCAGACUCCUACGGGAGGCAGCAGUGGGGAAUAUUGGACAAUGGGCGAAAGCCUGAUCCAGCAAUGCCGCGUGAGUGAUGAAGGCCUUAGGGUUGUAAAGCUCUUUUACCCGGGAUGAUAAUGACAGUACCGGGAGAAUAAGCGCCGGCUAACUCCGUG
rnacentral:rRNA from 1 species